rnacentral:rRNA from 1 species
AACAUGCAGUCGAGCGGUAGCACAGAGAGCUUGCUCUCGGGUGACGAGCGGCGGACGGGUGAGUAAUGUCUGGGAAACUGCCUGAUGGAGGGGGAUAACUACUGGAAACGGUAGCUAAUACCGCAUAACGUCGCAAGACCAAAGUGGGGGACCUUCGGGCCUCAUGCCAUCAGAUGUGCCCAGAUGGGAUUAGCUAGUAGGUGGGGUAACGGCUCACCUAGGCGACGAUCCCUAGCUGGUCUGAGAGGAUGACCAGCCACACUGGAACUGAGACACGGUCCAGACUCCUACGGGAGGCAGCAGUGGGGAAUAUUGCACAAUGGGCGCAAGCCUGAUGCAGCCAUGCCGCGUGUGUGAAGAAGGCCUUCGGGUUGUAAAGCACUUUCAGCGGGGAGGAAGGCGUUAAGGUUAAUAACCUUGUCGAUUGACGUUACCCGCAGAAGAAGCACCGGCUAACUCCGUGCCAGCAGCCGCGGUAAUACGGAGGGUGCAAGCGUUAAUCGGAAUUACUGGGCGUAAAGCGCACGCAGGCGGUCUGUCAAGUCGGAUGUGAAAUCCCCGGGCUCAACCUGGGAACUGCAUUCGAAACUGGCAGGCUAGAGUCUUGUAGAGGGGGGUAGAAUUCCAGGUGUAGCGGUGAAAUGCGUAGAGAUCUGGAGGAAUACCGGUGGCGAAGGCGGCCCCCUGGACAAAGACUGACGCUCAGGUGCGAAAGCGUGGGGAGCAAACAGGAUUAGAUACCCUGGUAGUCCACGCCGUAAACGAUGUCGAUUUGGAGGUUGUGCCCUUGAGGCGUGGCUUCCGGAGCUAACGCGUUAAAUCGACCGCCUGGGGAGUACGGCCGCAAGGUUAAAACUCAAAUGAAUUGACGGGGGCCCGCACAAGCGGUGGAGCAUGUGGUUUAAUUCGAUGCAACGCGAAGAACCUUACCUGGUCUUGACAUCCACAGAACUUUCCAGAGAUGGAUUGGUGCCUUCGGGAACUGUGAGACAGGUGCUGCAUGGCUGUCGUCAGCUCGUGUUGUGAAAUGUUGGGUUAAGUCCCGCAACGAGCGCAACCCUUAUCCUUUGUUGCCAGCGGUUAGGCCGGGAACUCAAAGGAGACUGCCAGUGAUAAACUGGAGGAAGGUGGGGAUGACGUCAAGUCAUCAUGGCCCUUACGACCAGGGCUACACACGUGCUACAAUGGCAUAUACAAAGAGAAGCGACCUCGCGAGAGCAAGCGGACCUCAUAAAGUAUGUCGUAGUCCGGAUUGGAGUCUGCAACUCGACUCCAUGAAGUCGGAAUCGCUAGUAAUCGUAGAUCAGAAUGCUACGGUGAAUACGUUCCCGGGCCUUGUACACACCGCCCGUCACACCAUGGGAGUGGGUUGCAAAAGAAGUAGGUAGCUUAACCUUCGGGAGGGCGCUUACNACAG